ACCGGAUAGGACGAAAGUUUAAAGGUGCUUCGGCACCACUGAUGGAUGAGCCUGCGGCGCAUUAGCUAGUUGGUAGGGUAAAGGCCUACCAAGGCGACGAUGCGUAGCCGACCUGAGAGGGUGAACGGCCACACUGGGACUGAGACACGGCCCAGACUCCUACGGGAGGCAGCAGUAGGGAAUCUUCGGCAAUGGGCGAAAGCCUGACCGAGCAACGCCGCGUGAAUGAUGAAGGCCUUCGGGUUGUAAAAUUCUGUUAUAAGGGAAGAAUGGCUCUAGUAGGAAAUGGCUAGAGUGUGACGGUACCUUAUGAGAAAGCCACGGCUAACUACGUGCCAGCAGCCGCGGUAAUACGUAGGUGGCGAGCGUUAUCCGGAAUUAUUGGGCGUAAAGAGCGCGCAGGUGGUUGAUUAAGUCUGAUGUGAAAGCCCACGGCUUAACCGUGGAGGGUCAUUGGAAACUGGUCAACUUGAGUGCAGAAGAGGGAAGUGGAAUUCCAUGUGUAGCGGUGAAAUGCGUAGAGAUAUGGAGGAACACCAGUGGCGAAGGCGGCUUCCUGGUCUGUAACUGACA
rnacentral:rRNA from 1 species